AGAGUUUGAUCCUGGCUCAGGACGAACGCUGGCGGCGUGCCUAACACAUGCAAGUCCGGGAGAACGGGGUAGCAAUAUCCCUAGUAAACCGGCGAACGGGUGAGUAACGCGUAGGUAACCUACCUUGUGAACGGGGAUAACUCCGGGAAACCGGGGCUAAUACCCGAUGCUGUCCGACUGCAGCAUUGCAGUUUGAUGAAAGAUCCCAAAAGGAUGUCGCAAGAUGGGCCUGCGUCCCAUUAGAUAGUUGGCGGGAUAACAGCCCACCAAGUCAACGAUGGGUAGCUGGUCUGAGAGGACGACCAGUCACACUGGAACUGAGACACGGUCCAGACUUCUACGGAAGGCAGCAGUGAGGAAUAUUGCUCAAUGGGCGAAAGCCUGAAGCAGCGACGCCGCGUGAAGGAUGAAAUUCUUUUAGAAUGUAAACUUCUUUUGCAGGGGAAGAAUGUGGCGCUUUAGCGCCAUUGACGGUACCCUGCGAAUAAGCACCGGCCAACUACGUGCCAGCAGCCGCGGUAAUACCUAGGGUGCAAGCGUUGUCCGGAAUUACUGGGUGUAAAGGGUCCGCCAGCGGGUAAGCAAGUCGGUGGUGAAAUCCUGCAACUCAACUGCAAAACUGCCCCCCGAACUGUUUAUCUUGAGUUCCAAAGAAGAUGAUGGAAUUCAUGGUGGUAGCGGUGAAAUGCUUAAAUUUCCUGAAAAAUAACCGGUUGCCAAAGCGGGCCUUCUGGCUCGAUAAGAUUAGAUACCUGGGUAGUCCACGCCUUAAACGAUGGAUGUUCGGUGUCGGUCCCGCUGAGUACUUGUGAUCAAGUACUGAGCGGGAUCGGUGCCUGAGCUAACGCGUUAAACAUCCCACCUGGGGAGUACGAUCGCAAGGUUGAAACUCAAAGGAAUUGACGGGGGCCCGCACAAGCAGUGGAGCAUGUGGUUCAAUUCGAUGCAACGCGAAGAACCUUACCUGGGUUUGAAAAGCUCUGUAAACCGGUGAAAGCCGGCUAGCGUAGCAAUACGCGCGGAGUACAGGUGCUGCAUGGCUGUCGUCAGCUCGUGCCGUGAGGUGUUAGGUUAAGUCCUGCAACGAGCGCAACCCCUGCACUUAGUUGCCAUCAGGUCAAGCUGGGCACUCUAAGUGGACUGCCUACGCAAGUAGUGAGGAAGGUGGGGAUGACGUCAAGUCCUCAUGGCCCUUACACCCAGGGCCACACACGUGCUACAAUGGACGCUACAAAGGGUUGCCAAACCGUAAGGUGGAGCCAAUCCCAGAAAAGCGUCCUCAGUUCGGAUUGGAGUCUGCAACUCGACUCCAUGAAGCUGGAAUUGCUAGUAAUCGCGUAUCAGCACGACGCGGUGAAUACGUUCCCGGGCCUUGUACACACCGCCCGUCAAGCCAUGGAAACUGGGGGUACCCGAAAACGCUAUACUAACCGCAAGGAAGAAGGCGUCUAAGGUAAAACCAGCGACUGGGGCUAAGUCGUAACAAGGUAGCCG
rnacentral:rRNA from 1 species